AGGUCCCCAUUGCAGGUCUCCCAACCUGAACCAUACCUUGAUCUGCAGGUGUUAUGAAGAGCGCUGACUAAAUGGCCUACCGUUGGAGGCGGACCUCUUCCCCUUGCGGGCCAGGGUGAGCUGGACCUGCUGCUGGACCCGGACGCUCCGGUCGACGGAGUGGAACCUGGCCGGGCUCAGGAGGCUGUGCUCGGCCGGCAGGGCCAGCCUGCUGUCGUCCAGGACCUGAGGGGGGAGAACGGACUUGAAGCAACCCUCGUCCCCCAUCCCGGAUCCCCCCGGUGUCGGUCCACGACGGCUGGUCGUCUCCCCCUGUUGUGAGGGCAUCACUUCUCCGGGCGUCACCCGGCGUCAUUUUACCCGAGGCUCUGUUAAAGCGAGACGCCCCGUUCCGCGGGUUCAGGUCUGUCCUGUUAUCCCCCCUCCACCGCCAUGGAGGACUCCGAGUCCAUCUACUCCCCCUGCUGGUCGAUGGUCAUACUGCAGCUCAAUUAAGAUCCCUGACAAUAUAUUGCUUGAAUUUUCCCGAUGGUAACCUUUCUUUCUGUUUUCUUCUUUAAGGCGAACAAUUUGUCUGUCUUUUGUUUAAUUGUGUUUGGAACUUCGUCAUCAAGGAAUAAUCCUUAUAUUCGUUUUUACGAGCUGUAGUGGACGACACGUGACCCUAGGGGGCAGUAAGGAAGCAUACAAGUCAUUCUUUGAACUUUCAUGUGUCAUUAAAACUACAUUUAGAUUAACAUCAGACUAGCUCUUAGAAAUCAUACGUUUUACACAUACACACAACCCUACAUCUGUGUGAACUACAUCCUGAGGAACUGACAAAAACGGGGGGCACGUAUCGACGUCUGAUGUCGCAUAAGUGUUGGUGAUGAAAUGGCCUGUGAUGGAUGAGCGGUUUAUCACAGCCGGUGUUAAAAUAAGGGCCCCUCUUUUCAUGAGACAGAGCUGAACAUCAUAGUCAUGCAGCUAUUAGUUCAUAAUAAUAAAAAAUAUUCCAUAUAAUGGUUAAGGAUUUAUUUGAUUCGUCAAAUAAGGUUUAAACGACCGGAUAUGCACAUUUUUAGGUUUGCCACCAAACCAACUGACAUUUUUUUUGCACAAGAGUGUUUUCAUUUCGUUGAUUGAAGUAACAUCUGUAGUCUCUCUCCCUCUCUCUCCCACACAUACAAAAUAAACGGGGUCACAUGUCG
rnacentral:lncRNA from 1 species